UGGCUUAUGUGUCUUGGCUAAGGUGUCUUGGCUAAUGUGUCUUGGCUAAGGUGUCUUGGCUAAGGUGUCUUGGCUAAGGUGUCUUGGCUAAUGUGUCUCGGCUAAUGUGUCUUGGCUAAGGUGUCUUGGCUAAGGUGUCUUGGCUAAAGUGUCUUGGCUAAUGUGUCUUGGCUAAUGUGUCUUGGCUAAUGUGUCUUGGCUAAUGUGUCUUGGCUAAGGUGUCUUGGCUAAUGUGUCUUGGCUAAGGUGUCUUGGCUAAGGUGUCUUGGCUAAAGUGUCUUGGCUAAUGUGUCUUGGCUAAUGUGUCUUGGCUAAUGUGUCUUGGCUAAUGUGUCUUGGCUAAGGUGUCUCGGCUAAUGUGUCUUGGCUAAGGUGUCUUGGCUAAGGUGUCUUGGCUAAUGUGUCUUGGCUAAUGUGUCUUGGCUAAUGUGUCUUGGCUAAGGUGUCUUGGCUAAGGUGUCUUGGCUAAAGUGUAUUGGCUAAUGUGUCUUGGCUAAUGUGUUUUGGUUAAUGUGUCUUGGCUAAGGUGUCUUGGCUAAGGUGUCUUGCCUAAUGUGUCUUGGCUAAUGUGUCUUGGCUAAUGUGUCUCGGCUAAGGUGUCUUGGCUAAUGUGUCUUGGCUAAGGAGUUUUGGCUAAUGUGUCUUGGCUACUGUGUCUUGGCUAAUGUGUCUUGGCUACUGUGUCUUGGCUAAUGUGUCUUGGCUAAUGUGUCUUGGCUAAUGUGUCUUGGCUAAUGUGUCUUGGCUAAUGUGUCUUGGCUAAUGUGUCUUGGCUAAUGUGUCUUGGCUAAUGUGUCUUGGCUAAGGUGUCUUGGCUAAGGUGUCUUGGCUUAUGUGUCCUGGCUAAGGUGUCUUGGCUAAUGUGUCUUCGCUAAUGUGUCUUGGCUAAUGUGUCUUGGCUAAUGUGUCUUGGCUAAUGUGUCUUGGCUAAGGUGUCUUGGCUAAGGUGUCUUGGCUAAUGUGUCUUGGCUAAAGUGUCAUGGCUAAGGUGUCUUGGCUAAGGUGUCUUGGCUAAGGUGUCUUGGCUUAUGUGUCCUGGCUAAGGUGUCUUGGCUAAUGUGUCUUGGCUAAUGUGUCUUGGCUAAUGUGUCUUGGCUAAUGUGUCUUGGCUAAUGUGUCUUGGCUAAUGUGUCUUGGCUAAUGUGUCUUGGCUAAUGUGUCUUGGCUAAUGUGUCUUGGCUAAUGUGUCUCGGCUAAUGUGUCUUGGCUAAUGUGUCUUGGCUAAUGUGUCUUGGCUAAGGUGUCUUGGCUAAUGUGUCUCGGCUAAUGUGUCUCGGCUAAUGUGUCUUGGCUAAGGUGUCUUGGCUAAUGUGUCUUGGCUAAUGUGUCUUGGCUAAUGUGUCUUGGCUAAGGUGUCUUGGCUAAGGUGUCUUGGCUAAUGUGUCUUGGCUAAUGUGUCUUGGCUAAGGUGUCUUGGCUAAGGUGUCUUGGCUAAGGUGUCUUGGCUAAUGUGUCUUGGCUAAUGUGUCUUGGCUAGUGUGUCUUGGCUAAUGUGUCUUGGCUAAGGUGUCUUGGCUAAUGUGUCUUGGCUAAUGUGUCUUGGCUAAGGUGUCUUGGCUAAUGUGUCUUGGCUAAUGUGUCUCGGCUAAUGUGUCUUGGCUAAGGUGUCUUGGCUAAUGUGUCUUGGCUAAUGUGUCUUGGCUAAUGUGUCUUGGCUAAGGUGUCUUGGCUAAGGUGUCUUGGCUAAUGUGUCUUGGCUAAUGUGUCGUGGCUAAGGUGUCUUGGCUAAGGUGUCUUGGCUAAGGUGUCUUGGCUAAUGUGUCUUGGCUAAUGUGUCUUGGCUAA